rnacentral:rRNA from 1 species
GAUGAACGCUAGCGGCAGGCCUAACACAUGCAAGUCGAGGGGCAGCACAGGUAGCAAUACUGGGUGGCGACCGGCGGAUGGGUGCGUAACGCGUAUGCAACCUACCAUUGAUUGGGGCAUAGCCCGAAGAAAUUCGGAUUAAUACUCCAUAAUAUUCAUCAAAGGCAUCUUUUAUGAAUUAAAGCUUUUGCGAUCAAUGAUGGGCAUGCGUGACAUUAGUUAGUUGGUGAGGUAACGGCUCACCAAAACGAUGAUGUCUAGGGGUUCUGAGAGGAUUAUCCCCCACACUGGUACUGAGACACGGACCAGACUCCUACGGGAGGCAGCAGUGAGGAAUAUUGGUCAAUGGACGCAAGUCUGAACCAGCCAUGCCGCGUGCAGGAUGACGGGCCCUAUGGGUUGUAAACUGCUUUUCCACGGGAAGAACCCUCCGACGUGUCGGAGACUGACGGUACCGUGGGAAUAAGCAUCGGCUAACUCCGUG